CAUUGAAACUGGUUGACUAGAGUUUUGUAGAGGGUGGUAGAAUUUCAGGUGUAGCGGUGAAAUGCGUAGAGAUCUGAAGGAAUACCAGUGGCGAAGGCGGCCACCUGGACAGAGACUGACACUGAGGCGCGAAGGCGUGGGGAGCAAACGGGAUUAGAUACCCCGGUAGUCCACGCAGUAAACGAUGUCUAUUAGAAGUUUGUGGCUAUAUGCCGUGGGUUUCAAAGCUAACGCAUUAAAUAGACCGCCUGGGGAGUACGGCCGCAAGGUUAAAACUCAAAUGAAUUGACGGGGGCCCGCACAAGCGGUGGAGCAUGUGGUUUAAUUCGACGCAACGCGAAGAACCUUACCAUCCCUUGACAUCCAGAGAAUCACCUAGAGAUAGAUGAGUGCCUUCGGGAACUCUGAGACAGGUGCUGCAUGGCUGUCGUCAGCUCGUGUUGUGAAAUGUUGGGUUAAGUCCCGCAACGAGCGCAACCCUUAUCCUUAGUUGCCAGCACGUAAUGGUGGGAACUCUAGGGAGACUGCCGGUGAUAAACCGGAGGAAGGUGGGGACGACGUCAAGUCAUCAUGGCCCUUACGGGAUGGGCUACACACGUGCUACAAUGGCAAAUACAAAGGGUUGCUAACCUGCGAGGGUAUGCGAAUCUCAUAAAGUUUGUCGUAGUCCGGAUCGGAGUCUGCAACUCGACUCCGUGAAGUUGGAAUCGCUAGUAAUCGUGGAUCAGAAUGCCACGGUGAAUACGUUCCCGGGCCUUGUACACACCGCCCGUCACACCAUGGGAGUGGGCUGCACCAGAAGUCAUUAGCUUAACCUUCGGGAUGGCGAUGACCACGGUGUGGUUCAUGACUGGGGUGAA
rnacentral:rRNA from 1 species